rnacentral:lncRNA from 1 species
UGUCACAUUAGCUAAUUAGCUCUAAUUCAACCAAUCCAUAUAGGGUGCAAAUCAAGUAUUAUAUUAGUUAAAAAAUAUAUUUUCUAAUGAAUAUCUAGGUAGGCUGGAAUACUAUCGAUAGCACCAAGGGUUUGGUGCUAUUAGGUUUUUAGCCCUUGGAUUGAGAAAUGUGCGGUUAGGAUGAUGUGGGCCCUUUAGGGUUGAGUGAGUGGUUGGUUGAAUAGUAUAAUCUAACGGAUAAAAAUAAUCAAAGGGUUAAAUCUAACGGUGGAAAACUCGAUAGCACCAAAUCCUUGGUGCUAUCGAUAGUAUCUCAGCCGGACUCUUCUAAUCUCUGUAUAAGAAUCAAAGUAUUUUAAAAAAAUAGUACUCAUCUAUAGGAACCCGUCUCAAAGUUGGAUUAGAGAAAAAAAAAAAAGAAUUCAUCUCUUUUUUUUAUUUUCUUUUCUCUCGAUCUCUAUGUCCAUUUUGGUAUUUCCACCUACGUUUCUAUUAUUUUGGAGGGUAGACGAUUAUGGAAUAAUCUAAUAGCCUCCCACGAUGAUACA